rnacentral:rRNA from 1 species
AGUGAACGCUGGCGGCGUGCUUAACACAUGCAAGUCGAACGAGAACGGGAUAUAGCUUGCUAUAUUUGUCAGCCAAGUGGCGCACGGGUGAGUAAUGUAUAGAUAACCUGCCCUCUACAAAGGAAUAACAGUUGGAAACGACUGCUAAUGCCUUAUAUGCAUUUAAUACAUAAGUAUGCAAGGGAAACGCUUUAGUGCUAGAGGAUGGGUCUGUAUGGUAUCAGCUUGUUGGUGAGGUAAUGGCUCACCAAGGCUAUGACGCCUAACUGGUUUGAGAGGAUGAUCAGUCACACUGGAACUGAGACACGGUCCAGACUCCUACGGGAGGCAGCAGUGGGGAAUAUUGCACAAUGGACGAAAGUCUGAUGCAGCAACGCCGCGUGGAGGAUGACACAUUUCGGUGCGUAAACUCCUUUUAUAUAGGAAGAUAAUGACGGUACUAUAUGAAUAAGCACCGGCUAACUCCGUGCCAGCAGCCGCAGUAAAAC